UUUCCGUAGGUGAACCUGCGGAAGGAUCAUUAAUGUAACCGGACCGUUCCUUUGCCGCAAAACGCACUGGAUUGGAAAGGGAGAUAUCAUACACCCUAUGUUUAUUUACUUUUGUUGCUUUGGUGGGCCGUCCUUUACGGCGUCGGCCUCGGCUGAUCGCGCCCGCCAGAGGACCCAAACUCUUUUAUUAGUGAUGUCUGAGUACUAUAUAAUAGUUAAAACUUUCAACAACGGAUCUCUUGGUUCUG
rnacentral:misc_RNA from 1 species